GGCUACGUGUUCUGUACUAGACUAACUGAGACUUGUCAUAGCACUUGUAUACCGUUGUUGUUCUCUCGUUGAUCUGAUUGUUUCUACUGUUCUCAUUUGUAAGUCGCUUUGGAUAAAAGCAUCUGCUAAAUGAUUAAAUGUAAUGUAAAUAGUGCCACACUCGUACUGACUCUUAUUCUGCCUGAAAGAAUGAAAAGGCCGUGCUGAAGGCGGAGCGAUUCGACCAAUCAGAUGAAAGCAGCGUUUCAGCGCCGCCCACAAGUGCGUCAAAUAUUGAAGCCAUAAUCCGAUUUGUAAACCUCAAAUGAAAAAAUAGAAAUCAAGCCAAAAUCGAAUUUUCCGUUUGUUAAACUAAACAGGAAAACGUAUAAAUGAGCCAUUUUUCCAUUUCUCAUUAUUGCAUUCCAAAUAGGAAAUGAAAUGAUCAAAACGUACACGGACCGUUGUUCAGCUGACUUAUUGUGUUUGUUUGUCAUUUCUAUUCAGAAUCAGUGCUGGAGAUCAGAUUCUGUUUCAUCAUGGAUGACACACAAACAUCCACACUUGAAGAUGUUUCUCCACGAUGCAGUUCCUUUCAGCAGAAGAGAUCAGAAGCAGAGCCCAGCUGUGUGUCUAUGAGGAGUGAUUGGUCUAUGGAACAUCCAAUAGAUUUUAAGAGUGAAGAUACAAAGACUGAUCUCAGUUCAGUUCAUCAGAAGAGAUCAGAAGCAGAGCCCAGCUGUGUGUCUUUGAGGAGUGACGCGUCUGUGAAUCAGCCAUUAGAUUAUAAGAGUAAAGAUACAAAGACUGAUCUCAGGUCUAAUAUUUAUGUACAAAAAUUAUUUGAUUAUGAUACAGAAUACAUAAAUGACACUGUGCUCAUUAGCUUAUUUAAUAAUG
rnacentral:lncRNA from 1 species